CGGUUGCAGCGUCAACUAUGAAAACACGUUGAUAUUAACUAAUCCUGAUGGCCAUGUCUCUACGUUUCACGGUGACCAAAACGCCCGCUCCAGCUAUUCCGCUCUACCACACCAAAAACCGCCGCUUGUGAGGAGAGGGCUGCACAUGUGCCGCGUUUCAAGCUUCCUGAGACCAACUUUAGCCACUCAACAUCUGCAGCUAGCUCCUCCUCAGUCCUCCUCAUCCCCAGCAGCUCAAGGAUGGUUGGCAGCCAGCAACCGCCGACAGACGGGGGGCGGGUGCGGCGUGAAGAUGAUCAAACAACCAGUAUAAAAUGUUAAAACGCAAAUGUUUAUCAGAUGCUUUAUCUUUAAUCAAUUGCAGCGCAUUUUAACGUCAUUCAUCUCGAUCUCUUAACACUGUACAAUUCAGAUACACACGCUAAUAUACGUAGUAUCACCUUUGAGUCAGCGUAUUGAUUUGGGCAGUGAUGCGGUCACACAGGUGUGCCGCUGAGAUGGCAGCGGCGGUUGACAAUAUGGCUGAGUUAUGCUUUAUUUACUGUGUUGUAAACGAAAAAGGUACCCCAAGCACACUACGAGUAGAAAUAAAGGUAGUGUUUUGAAAUAUUUCUUUAGCAGAAGUAACAUUCGGCCACACUCAUAGUGCCUGAGUUGAGGUUAAUCAUUCCCAACUCGUCAAAUAAUGACGUUUUGGGAUGCCAGCCGAAAAGUCCUACAGCCUCAAAGUUCGGAAA